rnacentral:rRNA from 1 species
GCAGCCGCCACGGUAAUACGAAGGGUGCAAGCGUUACUUGGAAUUACUGGGCGUAAAGCGUGCGUAGGUGGUGGUUUAAGUCCGUUGUGAAAGCCCUGGGCUCAACCUGGGAAUUGCAGUGGAUACUGGGUCACUAGAGUGUGGUAGAGGAUAGUGGAAUUUCCGGUGUAGCAGUGAAAUGCGUAGAGAUCGGAAGGAACAUCUGUGGCGAAGGCGACUAUCUGGGCCAACACUGACACUGAGGCACGAAAGCGUGGGGAGCAAACAGGAUUAGAUACCCCUGUAGUCCCUGUCUCUUAUAC